rnacentral:rRNA from 1 species
AUUGAACGCUGGCGGCAGGCCUAACACAUGCAAGUCGAGCGGAAACGAGUUAUCUGAACCUUCGGGGGACGAUAACGGCGUCGAGCGGCGGACGGGUGAGUAAUGCCUAGGAAAUUGCCCUGAUGUGGGGGAUAACCAUUGGAAACGAUGGCUAAUACCGCAUGAUGCCUACGGGCCAAAGAGGGGGACCUUCGGGCCUCUCGCGUCAGGAUAUGCCUAGGUGGGAUUAGCUAGUUGGUGAGGUAAGGGCUCACCAAGGCGACGAUCCCUAGCUGGUCUGAGAGGAUGAUCAGCCACACUGGAACUGAGACACGGUCCAGACUCCUACGGGAGGCAGCAGUGGGGAAUAUUGCACAAUGGGCGCAAGCCUGAUGCAGCCAUGCCGCGUGUGUGAAGAAGGCCUUCGGGUUGUAAAGCACUUUCAGUCGUGAGGAAGGUAGUGUAGUUAAUAGCUGCAUUAUUUGACGUUAGCGACAGAAGAAGCACCGGCUAACUCCGUGCCAGCAGCCGCGGUAAUACGGAGGGUGCGAGCGUUAAUCGGAAUUACUGGGCGUAAAGCGCAUGCAGGUGGUUUGUUAAGUCAGAUGUGAAAGCCCGGGGCUCAACCUCGGAAUAGCAUUUGAAACUGGCAGACUAGAGUACUGUAGAGGGGGGUAGAAUUUCAGGUGUAGCGGUGAAAUGCGUAGAGAUCUGAAGGAAUACCGGUGGCGAAGGCGGCCCCCUGGACAGAUACUGACACUCAGAUGCGAAAGCGUGGGGAGCAAACAGGAUUAGAUACCCUGGUAGUCCACGCCGUAAACGAUGUCUACUUGGAGGUUGUGGCCUUGAGCCGUGGCUUUCGGAGCUAACGCGUUAAGUAGACCGCCUGGGGAGUACGGUCGCAAGAUUAAAACUCAAAUGAAUUGACGGGGGCCCGCACAAGCGGUGGAGCAUGUGGUUUAAUUCGAUGCAACGCGAAGAACCUUACCUACUCUUGACAUCCAGAGAACUUUCCAGAGAUGGAUUGGUGCCUUCGGGAACUCUGAGACAGGUGCUGCAUGGCUGUCGUCAGCUCGUGUUGUGAAAUGUUGGGUUAAGUCCCGCAACGAGCGCAACCCUUAUCCUUGUUUGCCAGCGAGUAAUGUCGGGAACUCCAGGGAGACUGCCGGUGAUAAACCGGAGGAAGGUGGGGACGACGUCAAGUCAUCAUGGCCCUUACGAGUAGGGCUACACACGUGCUACAAUGGCGCAUACAGAGGGCGGCCAACUUGCGAAAGUGAGCGAAUCCCAAAAAGUGCGUCGUAGUCCGGAUUGGAGUCUGCAACUCGACUCCAUGAAGUCGGAAUCGCUAGUAAUCGUGGAUCAGAAUGCCACGGUGAAUACGUUCCCGGGCCUUGUACACACCGCCCGUCACACCAUGGGAGCGGGCUGCAAAAGAAGUAGGUAGUUUAACCUUCGGGGGGACGCUUACCACUUUGUGGUUCAUGACUGGGGUG